rnacentral:rRNA from 1 species
GAGCACGAAGGUUAGCUAAUCACGGUCGGACAUCGUGAGGUUAGUGCAAAGGCAUAAGCUAGCUUGACUGCGAGAGUGACGGCUCGAGCAGGUACGAAAGUAGGUCUUAGUGAUCCGGUGGUUCUGAAUGGAAGGGCCAUCGCUCAACGGAUAAAAGGUACUCCGGGGAUAACAGGCUGAUACCGCCCAAGAGUUCAUAUCGACGGCGGUGUUUGGCACCUCGAUGUCGGCUCAUCACAUCCUGGGGCUGAAGUAGGUCCCAAGGGUAUGGCUGUUCGCCAUUUAAAGUGGUACGCGAGCUGGGUUUAGAACGUCGUGAGACAGUUCGGUCCCUAUCUGCCGUGGGCGUUGGAAGAUUGAGAGGG